AGUUCUUGGAUUGAGGGUCAGUUUCCUGAGGAAGGAACUCAAAGCAAUGCAAGAAUGGACUAAUACGUCUACUGAAGGACAUCUUGGUUGGUCCCAGAUUUUGGCAAUUAUGAAAAAUCUGCUAUAGAUGUAUGCAGGUUUUCUGUGGACGUACGUUUUCCACUCCUGCUGGCCAGACAACACAUCUACAGGGUGCAGAUGACCUAUGGGCAGCCACACUGUGAUGCCUGUGUGAGGGCCUAAACUUCAGGGAGGAAGAAAGUGAGGUCAGAUCCUGAGGGAGCACUUGCUCUCCUGCAGCAGGCAUGGGGGAGCACCUGACUGCUGAGGAUGGCUUCGGAACAUUUGUGUGAAGAGGGAUAACAGAUGCUGCAUGCCAGAGGGAUGGUGGCCAUAGGCCGCAAGAUUCGGUUCUUCUGGCCGCAGAAGACCCUGACUUCACCUUUCAGGCCUCUGUUUCCUUAUCAACGAAAUAAGAGCAUGUGAUUAAUUCUGCAGGUGCUUCCAGCUUGGACUUUUUUGCAAAUAUUUUCAUUCAACUCACUUUAGAAACCUGCAGGGAGUCUCU
ensembl:lncRNA novel transcript, antisense to SERPINA9